rnacentral:rRNA from 1 species
GUCUACAGCCAUACCACCCUGAACGCAGCCAAUCUUGUCAGCUCUGCAGGGUCGGGCCUAGUUAGUACUCGGAUGGGAGACUGCUUGGGAAUAGCGGGUGCUGUAGACU